UGAUUCCCUGCUUUCCUACUGAAGGCGGUGACUAUCCCAGGUGUGUCUCCGCCCCCUCGCUCCCUAUUGGCCGCGAUCCUUAAAGCCUGCAGCUUGCUUAUACAAAUUUAAGGAACUCUCAGCUUGUAUUUGGUGAAUACUCGAGUGGAACCUUUUCCACUGUAAAUGGACCUGGCGUGUGUAGAUCCGUUUGCGCUUUCUCAAGCUAAACCCCAAUGUCAGUUCUGCCAUGCAGAAGUCACAGAAUGGGAUGUCACCCAAAACAUUACGUAAUUUGUUUUACAAUUUUCUUGAGAUUUGCCUACUAUCUAGAGCGCCAUAACAUCUAAAUGCAUGGGGCCCUCACGCGGGGCAGCUCUAGGGCCGACGGCGUCACCCCUAGUUCCUUCCUCUGAGGGAGGGCUUGGAGCGGAACGGGCUUGGGAGUGCUGAAGGCACUGGCACCUGAAGCUAGGGACGGGCUUGCAGACCGGAAGUGGGGGAAAGGUGACGUUACAGUGCUGGCGUGGCCCGGGCCAUUUCCAAAGGAAUCUUAAAGCGGCACAUUGGUAGGCUUCCCAAACAGGGGAGGAGGUUGGAAAAAGGGGCAAACAACCACACACACGAGCGUACACAACUAUCUCCCACUUAAGAGCUCUACUUUUCCCUGCCCCCAGCACGGGGUGGGGGUGGGGUCGAGUCCAGUUUUCCCGCGCUUUGUUGCCCCGCCCCCUAGAGGCGGGAGAAGGGGAGGGUUAUUAGGGGAAAGAGUUGCCUUUUAUAUUGUAAUCAGCACUCACUUGCAGAAUUUUUCAGGAAGCCCAGUGUGCCCCCUUGAGCGCGCUGUAGCGGGCCCGCAAGCCUCCGCAGAUGGCUACGUAUGCAGCCGCUCACAACCUGGGCGUGGUUAUUAAAAGUGGUUCUGUUACUUUACCCCGGAUCACAGGACAGGUGAACCCACGGACUCCCUCACGCACGCUGAGAGUCUGCGUAAGUAAUAGAGACUGUUUUAAGGUACCCUGAGAAAAUAAAAGGUGGCUCUGACUGAGAAAGCGAAUCCUGCCCUGCCAUUCAUCGAACUGGGAUCACAGACAUAGAAAGCCUGUAAAGUUAGCAGGAAAUAUUUUCUGCCCAGAACACAGACGUGAUGAUUGAAGGAUCUUGUGAUUUGGAGGCACCCAGACGAUGGAGCUGCAGGCCAAGGAUGGUAGGGAAUUACAAGAAGCCUGGGAAUCUGAUGACUCACUGGGGACACUAUGUCAGCCCUGGGCUACGUCCAGGCUUUAUUAGCUUGAGAGAAAAAUGAACUUCCAUCUU